CCUUUGACGUUAGCGGCGGACGGGUGAGUAACACGUGGGUAACCUACCUAUAAGACUGGGAUAACUUCGGGAAACCGGAGCUAAUACCGGAUAAUAUUUCGAACCGCAUGGUUCGAUAGUGAAAGAUGGUUUUGCUAUCACUUAUAGAUGGACCCGCGCCGUAUUAGCUAGUUGGUAAGGUAACGGCUUACCAAGGCGACGAUACGUAGCCGACCUGAGAGGGUGAUCGGCCACACUGUAACUGAGACACGGUCCAGACUCCUACGGGAGGCAGCAGUC
rnacentral:rRNA from 1 species